rnacentral:rRNA from 1 species
UACGUAGGGUGCAAGCGUUAAUCGGAAUUACUGGGCGUAAAGCGUGCGCAGGCGGCUUUGCAAGACAGAUGUGAAAUCCCCGGGCUUAACCUGGGAACUGCAUUUGUGACUGCAUGGCUGGAGUGCGGCAGAGGGGGAUGGAAUUCCGCGUGUAGCAGUGAAAUGCGUAGAUAUACGGAGGAACACCGAUGGCGAAGGCAGCCCCCUGGGCUAACACUGACGCUCAUGCACGAAAGCGUGGGGAGCAAACAGG